rnacentral:rRNA from 1 species
AUACGGAGGAUCCGAGCGUUAUCCGGAUUUAUUGGGUUUAAAGGGUGCGUAGGUGGUUUGAUAAGUCAGCGGUGAAAGUUUGCAGCUUAACUGUAAAAAUGCCGUUGGAACUGUCGGACUUGAGUGUAAAUGAGGUAGGCGGAAUGCGUGGUGUAGCGGUGAAAUGCUUAGAUAUCACGCAGAACUCCGAUUGCGAAGGCAGCUUACUAAGCUACAACUGACACUGAAGCACGAAAGCGUGGGGAUCAAACAGGAUUAGAUACCCUGGUAGUCCACGCAGUAAACGAUGAUUACUAACCGUCGGCGAUACACAGUCGGUGGCCAAGCGAAAGCGAUAAGUUAUCCACCUGGGGAGUACGUUCGCAAGAAUGAAACUCAAAGGAAUUGACGGGG